CAGCCGCCGCGGUAAUACGAAGGGUGCAAGCGUUACUCGGAAUUACUGGGCGUAAAGCGUGCGUAGGCGGUGAGUUAAGUCUGCUGUGAAAUCCCCGGGCUCAACCUGGGAAUGGCAGUGGAUACUGGCUCGCUAGAGUGUGUCAGAGGAUGGUGGAAUUCCCGGUGUAGCGGUGAAAUGCGUAGAGAUCGGGAGGAACAUCAGUGGCGAAGGCGGCCAUCUGGGACAACACUGACGCUGAGGCACGAAAGCGUGGGGAGCAAACAGGAUUAGAUACCCCAGUAGUCCCUGUCUCUUAUAU
rnacentral:rRNA from 1 species